GGGCUCGUGGUAUACCGGUAACACACUUCGAUGGCAUCGAAGAAUAGCGGGUUCGAUUCCCGCCGAGUCCA
rnacentral:tRNA from 1 species